UUAAAUUAUUAUAGACAGCGUAUAAAUUUGGAAGGAAAGUUAUGUCGCAAAUGGAUGAAAUCCAGAAAUGAACCCCGAAUUUCACCGCAAGCGAGUCGGAGCAGCUAUUGGAACUGGAAGAUCACCAAGAAAUUGUUAACUGAGUUUGAUGAAAAACUUUUGACUGUGUUGCAUGAGAAGCAAGUUAGUGGCAUGCAGAGUGUGUAUGACAAUGAUAUAAUUGCCGUAAAUAUUGAUGAGUCCGUGAUAUUGGAGGAAAAUACAUCAGAAAGCAUAGUGGAUUUCGAAAACACGACUGAAGUGGAAAUUAUAAAGGAAUAAAUGCUUUAGAACAAAUAUGAUCCCAGCAAGUUGAAAACACCAAAAAAUACAAAACUAAAAUUUGAAAAACCGCAAAGAUCUGCGAAAAAUGUUUGGGCAAAGUUAGGAGAUAUGAAAGCAAAAUGGACGGAAGAAAAAUAUGAAGCUGAAAUAAAUAUAAUAUAUGUGGAGCACGAACAAAGAAUGAAGCCAUUAGAAGAAAGUAGCAACCUAUCAACGAAGUUGAUGAAAGAAAAACAUGAUUUGGAAAUGAAAAUUUUAGCACUAGAUUAGGAAAGAAGAAUAAAGGAGCUGGAAGUGUGAAAUAAAAAAUGCAUAUGUGCAUGUAAAAUUAUAAACGUAUUUAUUAAACUACAAUUGGGGCGUUCACAACCUGUCUUAAAGCAUCGUAAAGUCGUAAAAUUUUAAAUUUUUACACUUGUUUAAAUAAAAAUUAGGGUUUGCACAUGUCUCUUAAAGUUAUAAGUGUGGGAUUCGUACCCUAUUGCAUUCACCAAUUUCGAUAUAAGUAUACAAGUUUGUUAAUCCACUUCUUUAAUGAUAACAAUUAAGUACACUUCAUUUACAAAAUAUAGUCUCUAAAUUCAGUUAUAAAAUAUAAGUAGUUUUCACUCUCACAAAUAAUUCUUCUUGCGUUAUUCACUUUUUAGUUCUCAACCUUUACUUGCUGCGCACGUCUGACCGACUUCUAACUCUUGCUUGCUCGCCGCGCAUGUCUGUUCAGUUUGGUGACCGACUUCUAACUCUUGCUGCUUUAGCUCAUCGUGAUCAGAGCAACCUACGCUGUCUUUUCCGUACUGUCCCUUUUCUUAUUUUCCCUUUCUGCCAGAGAUGCCAUCCCACAUAAGUUAUAACGAUUCGAAAACAUAGUAUUGAGAAUUGUAAAUGUGUAAACUCAUUUUUGUAUGUAUUCCAACAACAAUCACGGAGUGGUUAUUUUCAUAACCACUGUCUGCAACUACUAUUCCAGAACCAAAUUCUUAGGAUUCUAAUCGACAAUGAAUCCGAGAGUUACGGAAAAUAAUAACAUCACGAGUGGAUCCGGGCCACCGUGCAACGAUGUCUAUGAUGCGGAGAUCACUAUCACAUAACGUCUGGACGUUGAUGGAAAAUAUACGUUUUCUAUUACGAAAUAGUUCUGCAUGUUCCCCACCUGUAUAUGAAGUAUAUAAAAAGUUUUUGAGUGAAAUAUUUUUUGGAC